rnacentral:tRNA from 1 species
GAGGGUGUAGCUCAGAGGUAGAGUGCAUGCUUAGCAUGCACGAGGCCCUGAGUUCAAUCCCCAGUACUUCCA